UGUUUAUAGUUGAAAUCUAUUUUCUCAUC
rnacentral:piRNA from 1 species